GACGAACGCUGGCGGCGUGCCUAAUACAUGCAAGUCGAACGCACGAAGUUGAAGAGCUUGCUCUUUAACCAAGUGAGUGGCGGACGGGUGAGUAACACGUGGGUAACCUGCCCAUUAGAGGGGGAUAACAUUCGGAAACGGAUGCUAAUACCGCAUAGUUUCAGGAAUCGCAUGAUUCUUGAAGGAAAGGUGGCUUCGGCUACCACUAAUGGAUGGACCCGCGGCGUAUUAGCUAGUUGGUGAGGUAAUGGCUCACCAAGGCAAUGAUACGUAGCCGACCUGAGAGGGUGAUCGGCCACACUGGGACUGAGACACGGCCCAGACUCCUACGGGAGGCAGCAGUAGGGAAUCUUCCGCAAUGGACGGAAGUCUGACCGAGCAACGCCGCGUGAGUGAAGAAGGUUUUCGGAUCGUAAAGCUCUGUUGUAAGAGAAGAACGAGUGUGAGAGUGGAAAGUUCACACUGUGACGGUAUCUUACCAGAAAGGGACGGCUAACUACGUGCCAGCAGCCGCGGUAAUACGUAGGUCCCGAGCGUUGUCCGGAUUUAUUGGGCGUAAAGCGAGCGCAGGCGGUUAGAUAAGUCUGAAGUUAAAGGCUGUGGCUUAACCAUAGUACGCUUUGGAAACUGUUUAACUUGAGUGCAAGAGGGGAGAGUGGAAUUCCAUGUGUAGCGGUGAAAUGCGUAGAUAUAUGGAGGAACACCGGUGGCGGAAGCGGCUCUCUGGGCUUGUAACUGACGCUGAGGCUCGAAAGCGUGGGGGAGCAAACAGG
rnacentral:rRNA from 1 species